rnacentral:rRNA from 1 species
UUGCGCAAUGGCCGAAAGGCUGACGCAGCGACGCCGCGUGGGGGAUGACGGCUUUCGGGUUGUAAACCCUUGUCAGUGGGGAAGAAAAAAAUGACUGUACCCACAGAGGAAGCCCCGGCUAACUACGUGCCAGCAGCCGCGGUAAGACGUAGGGGGCGAGCGUUGUUCGGAAUUACUGGGCGUAAAGAGCUCGUAGGCUGGAAAUUAAGUCUUUGAACAAAUCUCCCGGCUCAACCGGGAACCGUUCAGGGAUACUGAUUUUCUGGAGGGCAGGAGAGGGGAGUGGAAUUCCUAGUGUAGCGGUGAAAUGCGUAGAUAUUAGGAGGAACACUGGUGGCGGAGGCGGUUCUGUGGCCUGUUUCUGACGCUGAGGAGCGAAAGCUGG